rnacentral:rRNA from 1 species
AGUGAACGCUGGCGGUAGGCCUAACACAUGCAAGUCGAACGGCAGCACAGUAAGAGCUUGCUCUUACGGGUGGCGAGUGGCGGACGGGUGAGGAAUACAUCGGAAUCUACUUUUUCGUGGGGGAUAACGUAGGGAAACUUACGCUAAUACCGCAUACGACCUACGGGUGAAAGCAGGGGAUCUUCGGACCUUGCGCGAUUGAAUGAGCCGAUGUCGGAUUAGCUAGUUGGCGGGGUAAAGGCCCACCAAGGCGACGAUCCGUAGGUGGUCUGAGAGGAUGAUCAGCCACACCUGGAACGAGACAAGGGUCCGAAUCCUAAGGGAGGGCGGAGUGGGGAAUAUUUGACAAUGGGGCGCAGCCCGAUUCAGGCAUUCCGGGGUGGGUAAGAAGGCCCUUCGGGUUGAAAGCCCCUUUUGUUGGAAAGAAAAACCGGCAGGUAAUACCCCGGCUGUUCUACGGGACCCAAAGAAUAAGCACCGGCUAACUUCGUG